rnacentral:rRNA from 1 species
GUGGGGAAUAUUGCACAAUGGGCGAAAGCCUGAUGCAGCAACGCCGCGUGAGGGAAGACGGUUUUCGGAUUGUAAACCUCUGUCUUUGGUGAAGAAGAAGUGACAUUAGCCGAGGAGGAAGCCACGGCUAACUACGUGCCAGCAGCCGCGGUAAUACGUAGGUGGCAAGCGUUAUCCGGAAUUACUGGGUGUAAAGGGAGCGCAGGCGGGAGAGCAAGUCAGCGGUGAAAUGUAUGGGCUUAACCCAUGAACUGCCGUUGAAACUGUUUUUCUUGAGUGGAGUAGAGGCAAGCGGAAUUCCGAGUGUAGCGGUGAAAUGCGUAGAUAUUCGGAGGAACACCAGUGGCGAAGGCGGCUUGCUGGGCUCUAACUGACGCUGAGGCUCGAAAGUGUGGGGAGCAAACAGG